rnacentral:rRNA from 1 species
CCUACGGGAGGCAGCAGUGAGGAAUAUUGGUCAAUGGCCGGAAGGCUGAACCAGCCAUGCCGCGUGAAGGUCAGUGCCCUAUGGGCGUUAAACUUCUUUUGUGCGGGAGCAAUAAUGGUCACGUGUGGCCAGACGAGAGUACCGUACGAAUAAGAAUCGGCCAACUCCGUGCCAGCAGCCGCGGUUAUACGGGGGAUGCAAGCGUUAUCCUGAUUUGUUGGGUUUAAAGGGUGCGUAGGCUGUGAGGUAAGGCAGCAGUGAAGUGCCUCCGCUCAACGGGGUGAAGUGCCAUUGAUACUGGCUUGCUGGAAUGCGGAUGCGGUGGGAGGAAUGUGUGGUGUAGCGGUGAAAUGCAUAGAUAUCACACAGAACACCGAUUGCGAAGGCAUCUCACGAAUCCGCGAUUGACGCUGAUGCACGAAAGCGUGGGUAUCAAACAGGAUUAGAUACCCCGGUAGUC